rnacentral:lncRNA from 1 species
UUAAAACGCGAGAGUUAUGGCCGUUUUAGCGAGGCUGGGUAAAAUUUUCGAAAAUUAAAAUUGUCCAAAAAUAGGAAAAAUGUGGUUUAUGGCGUGAGACCCUUGAGCAUGGCUUAUGCAAGUUUGUAAUGAAGCUUGGGGUCGGGUUUAAAGUGUUGUAAUGUUUAUAGCAUUUUAGAAUGCUUAAGCAAGUUAUUUAUUAAAAAGGAAAACAAUUGAAAUAAUUGUUUAUUUAUGUGAUUAAUGACUUAAGAUAUUUUUUUAUAUGACUAAUAGUAUUGUAGUGAGAUAUUAUUAGUAGUAUUUGAUUGGAAUGUAAUUAAAAGGUUGAUAACCUUAGCGUAAAAUAUUAUUGCAUAAUUAAUAAUAUUCGACGGGAAAUUUAAUAAGAGAUUUAUGAUAUUUUUCAAUGAAUAUUAUGUGUUUGGGCAAAUGAUAGAGAAAUAAUAAGUCAUAAUAAUCUAAUAAAAUCUUAUGGGGCGUAAUUUGACUAUAAGUAUCUUGAUGUAAAUUUUUGGACUGUUGUGUUCUGAUUUUGGAAAAAUGUCGUGAGACAAAAGUUGUAGCCCUAGAAGUUAUCUUCGCGUGGGCUCAAGAAUCGCUCAAAAAUAUUUUAAAACGCGAGAGUUAUGGCUGUUUUAGCGAGGCUGGGUAAAAAUUUCAAAAAGAUCAAAAGUGUCCAAAAAUAGGAAAAAUGCGAUGUAUGAAGUGAGACCCGUGAGCAUGGCUUAUGCAAGUUUGUAAUGAAGCUUGGGGUCGGGUUUAAAGUGUUGUAAUGUUUAUAGCAUUUUAGAAUGCUUAAGCAAGUUAUUUAUUAAAAAGGAAAACAAUUGAAAUAAUUGUUUAUUUAUGUGAUUAAUGACUUAAGAUAUUUUUUUUAUAUGACUAAUAGUAUUGUAGUGAGAUAUUAUUAGUAGUAUUUGAUUGGAAUGUAAUUAAAAGGUUGAUAACCUUAGCGUAAAAUAUUAUUGCAUAAUUAAUAAUAUUCGACGGGAGAUUUAAUAAGAGAUUUAUGAUAUUUUUCAAUGUAAUUGUUGAAAUUGAUAUUCAAUGAAUAUUAUGUGUUUGGGCAAAUGAUAGAGAAAUAAUAAGUCAUAAUAAUCUAAUAAAAUCUUAUGGGGCGUAAAAUGAAAAAUAAAGCGAAUGUGCUAGUGAGAUAAAAUGUUUAUAUAUGAGGCAAUAGUCAGUGUUGACUCAUAAACGGACAAACUGAAGUAAAAGUUAUUUAAAGUAAAGAAAUAAUAUAGUAAAUUGAGUUUUACUAUAAAAGUUAUGCAUUAGCUAUUUAAACUCCGUAUUUGCGAGUAGAGGUAAAAGAUAUUUCUGAAAUGAAAUUUAAAUGGUUUAAGUU